CAGAAACCUUAAGUGGGAUGACAUAAUUAUAAACAAAAUCAAUAAGAGGAUGAACUCUUUUAAUGUUUAUAAAACAAUAGUAUGGAAGAAUUUUGAUGCAUCUUGGAGCAAUGGCAACAUAUUUGGGAGUUGUGGGUGACAACGAGCAGAUUACAUAACAAUGGGAGGAUAACAAGGGCCUUAACUGAAAAAACUGGUGAAUGUUCCCAAAUAAACCUCACAGAUGUAGAAGAAAGACAAAAUAAAUUUGUUUAUUUAUUUUAUUUCUGUUCCCUACUAAACUAGUAAUAAAACAUACUUGUUACAAAUA